UGAGCGUCCUCACAAAUGAACUGACACCGUCUCUGUGCACCAUGAUACAACUAUGCACCUCAAGUGUGGAGCAUGUCCAGCCCAGACCAGCCGCCAAGGCCGUUAUGGUGCCUCCAUCAGACGGUAACGUCUGCACGGAAUGCAAGCAGAUGAUUGCGGACAUAAAGGACAUCCUGAGCAACACCACCGUACAG